rnacentral:rRNA from 1 species
AUUGAACGCUGGCGGCAGGCCUAACACAUGCAAGUCGAACGGUAGCACAGAGAGCUUGCUCUCGGGUGACGAGUGGCGGACGGGUGAGUAAUAUCUGGGAAACUGCCCGAUGGAGGGGGAUAACUACUGGAAACGGUAGCUAAUACCGCAUAACGUCGCAAGACCAAAGUGGGGGACCUUCGGGCCUCACACCAUCGGAUGUGCCCAGAUGGGAUUAGCUAGUAGGUGGGGUAAUGGCUCACCUAGGCGACGAUCCCUAGCUGGUCUGAGAGGAUGACCAGCCACACUGGAACUGAGACACGGUCCAGACUCCUACGGGAGGCAGCAGUGGGGAAUAUUGCACAACGGGCGCAAGCCUGAUGCAGCCAUGCCGCGUGUAUGAAGAAGGCCUUCGGGUUGUAAAGUACUUUCAGCGGGGAGGAAGGCGGUGGAGUUAAUAACUUCACCGAUUGACGUUACCCGCAGAAGAAGCACCGGCUAACUCCGUGCCAGCCGCCGCAGUAA